AUUGAACGCUGGCGGCAGGCUUAACACAUGCAAGUCGAGCGGGGUGAUGGUGCUUGCACUAUCACUUAGCGGCGGACGGGUGAGUAAUGCUUAGGAAUCUGCCUAUUAGUGGGGGACAACAUCUCGAAAGGGAUGCUAAUACCGCAUACGUCCUACGGGAGAAAGCAGGGGAUCACUUGUGACCUUGCGCUAAUAGAUGAGCCUAAGUCGGAUUAGCUAGUUGGUGGGGUAAAGGCCUACCAAGGCGACGAUCUGUAGCGGGUCUGAGAGGAUGAUCCGCCACACUGGGACUGAGACACGGCCCAGACUCCUACGGGAGGCAGCAUUGGGGAAUAUUGGACAAUGGGGGGAACCCUGAUCCAGCCAUGCCGCGUGUGUGAAGAAGGCCUUAUGGUUGUAAGCACUUUAAGCGAGGAGGAGGCUCUUUUGGUUAAUACCCAAGAUGAGUGGACGUUACUCGCAGAAUAAGCACCGGCUAACUCUGUGCCAGCAGCCGCGGUAA
rnacentral:rRNA from 1 species